rnacentral:tRNA from 1 species
GUGGGUGUAGCUCAGUUUGGAUAGAGCAUCUGGCUGUGGCCCAGAUUGUCGAGGGUUCGAAUCCCUUCACCCACC